CCUUCAAGACUUUUUCAUUCUGCAAUAGAGUCUGGAAUUUCUCUUUCUCCUUUACAAAGGAGCAACAGCAUGCCCUCCAUCCACAGUAGCCAAGGACUUGGUGACUAAGACAUUUUCAGAGAAAGCAGGAAAGUGGAAUUUCCUGAGGCAACUUGUACCCAUUGCUACUUGUCCUGUCAUCAUGCACCCAUGUGAGGAGAGUACAUCCAGCUUCCCUAGAGCUACUCUUUCAGAAAGCCUACAGACUCUGCAUCCAGAAUGUUGUAGAUGGGAAAAACUAUUUGAAGAACAUGAUGACUCUCAUCUUGUA
ensembl:lncRNA